rnacentral:rRNA from 1 species
AGAGCGAACGCUGGCGGCAGGCCUAACACAUGCAAGUCGAGCGCCCGUAGCAAUACGGGAGCGGCAGACGGGAUAGUAACACGUGGGAACGCGUCCUUCGGUUCGGAAUAACUCAGGGAAACUUGAGCUAAUACCGAAUACGCCCUUACGGGGAAAGAUUUAUUGCCGAAGGAACGGCCCGCGUCCGAUUAGCUAGUUGGUGAGGUAAUGGCUCACCAAGGCUACGAUCGGUAGCUGGUCUGAGAGGAUGACCAGCAUCACUGGGACUGAGACACGGCCCAGACUCCUACGGGAGGCAGCAGUGGGGAAUAUUGGACAAUGGGCGCAAGCCUGAUCCAGCCAUGCCGCGUGGAUGAUGAAGGCCUUAGGGUUGUAAAGUCCUUUUAACGGGGAAGAUAAGUGACGGUACCGUAGAAUAAGCCCCGGCUAACUUCGUGCCAGCAGCCGC